GGUGUGUAUGAUUAAGAACAAAGAUAGUGAACGCCAUUUCAGAAGGAUAUGAAGAUAAUUUGCAGGCGUUCCAAGGAGAAAUGAAAACAAAGCUAUGAAAGUGAAACAAAAAUUAAAAGAAGCACCACUUACCUACUGAAUCAACAAUAAAGGCAACGGUCCCAAGAAGAGUCUGCACUCGAAACAAUAUUGGACUGGUCUUGGAUAUUGUCGGACUUGUAUUACAGCUCCAUAUUUUUUCUAUAGGACAUUGAUCCAUCAUACAGUAGGAGCAGUGUGUGCUUUCGGUUCCGGAGGGAUUUUGUGUUGUAUAAAUAUGUUUGUUUGUAUUAUGUUUGGCUAUCACUGUAAGCACAGUGUUUGUUACUAGUUAAUACUGGUUAAGUAGGAAUAAUGAGUAUUAUUUUUGUUA